rnacentral:lncRNA from 1 species
CUCAAUUUGGAUUAACCUUCAACUGAAAAGAAUUGUUUAGCCUUUAAGGGCCAUAAUAAAAUUGCAAAAACUAAAUAAAAAAGAAGAAGAAGGGAGCGGCAAGGAGGUGGCCGAAUUUGAGAGAGGAGAAAAAGAAGAGAAAAAUAUGAUACCUAGGUUAAUUCUUGGCCAACUUUUAUAUAGGCUGUUCCCUAAUAAAAAGAUAAAUAUUUACAAUUUGAAAUAAACUCUACUACUCCUAUCUUAUCCCUAUCCUAGUCUGAUUGUGUUUGCUCCAAUUUGAAGUUGAUCUUAUCCUUGUAUUGCUGGAAAAAUCAGGCUGAGGUGGUAUUUUUUGAAAUCUGGAGUUGUCCAUCGCCUUGGGCUACGGGCUUGCCUAAGGCUGUAACCCCCUAGUCCGAAAAUCUUCCAAUUCAGCCUCUUUUCAUUCCUUUUCUUAAAUUCCGCUCAAAAACCUGUCCAAAAUCAAAUUUCAAAUAAAAAUUAAUUAUUUAUAUCAAAAUCAUAGCAAAAUCAUGGAAUUUAAUAAGGAAAAAGUGGUGAUUUUUGCAACUCAUCAUGAUUACAUAAUGUUUUCUAAAGACAUACCUGACUUUGAAGCUUGAUAAUUCACUAUUGGCUGAAAGUUUUGUUGUCUAUUCCUCUAGCUGAGAUUGGGAUGAUCUCUCCAUUCGGGAUUAUACGUAUUUGAAAAUAGAUCAUACUUUCUUUGUUAUCCAUUAAAUCCUCUAAUUGCAUUUACUUAUUGCUCACCUUUUUAAAGGGUGGGGUACAUAUCCAUGGGAUGGUUAGCCUUUUUGCAAAUGCCACAAGUUCUUACAUGAUUCAUAUUUCUUGCAGCCAAUUAUUGAAUUGCAGCAGUCAGUUGUGAAAUUUUAGAGUCUAAAGAUGUUAUACUUACCUCAUCUGCACUCCGUAGAGUAUCUUCUUCUCAGCCAUACUGCCUAGAGUUGGCAGCCAUUUUUGAGAUUAGAUUUUUACUAUUUUUGGAUUCCAUCUCUAAUAUAGUUUCUCCACUAGCGACAUCAAUUAUUCUUCUUUCUAAAGGCUACAACCCUUUAUAGAAAUGAAGGUUGAGUUGUCUUGGUGUGAUUCCAUGUUUGGGACAACUUGCAAUCAAUUUUUUGUAACAUUCUCAAUAUUCAUGGAGGGUUUAAUUCUUCCUUUGCUUAAUUCCACUAAUUUCUUUCCUUAUAGAUGAAACUUUAAUUGCUGAAAAAAAUCUCUCUAAAAAUAGAUCUCUAAUUUGCGCCUAGGUGGUAAUUGAUCCUAGAGGCAAAUAAUAAAGCCAAUCUUUAGCAAAUUAAAAUAAAGUAAAAGGAAAGGCUACUAACCUUAUCUGCUCAUCAGUUAUCCCCUAUGGUCUAAUACUUGAAUAAACAACGUAAAAUUCUUUCAAAUGAU